rnacentral:lncRNA from 1 species
UUAUAAUAAAAAUGAUAUUAUUUUUUAGUAUUAAUAAUAUUAGUAUAAUAUUAUAAUAUUUAUAGGAAUAUUAUUAUUAAGUAAUAUUAUUAUAUUAAUAUCAAUAUUGAUACACUAAUAACUGGAUACUAGCAUAUAGCAUAUGUGAAUCGUACCAUUCUGUUCUUAGUCCCUUAUUUAGUUUAGAAGAAACAAGAGUUGGGGCUAGUGUUCUAUUCUUAACCCCUUAUCUAACAAGGAUGAAAAAUUAACUGGGGCUGGGCUCGCUAAUUGAUGUUUCAUGUACGUUCUCUUGAGGGAAACCUUGACACCUUGGCUGCUCUUUUAUGCCUCGAUCCUUGUGCAAUGUGUUGGGAACUUUGCUAGAAAUUAA